GACGGAGGGUGCAAGCGUUGUUCGGAAUUACUGGGCGUAAAGGGCGCGUAGGCGGUCUGCUAAGUUCGGUGUGAAAGCCCCUGGCUCAACUGGGGAACUGCGCCGGAAACUGGCAGACUAGAGUACCGGAGAGGAGGGUGGAAUUCCUGGUGUAGCGGUGAAAUGCGUAGAUAUCAGGAGGAACACCGGUGGCGAAGGCGGCCCUCUGGACCGACACUGACGCUGAGGCGCGAAAGCUAGGGGAGCAAACGGG
rnacentral:rRNA from 1 species